CAGAAAUGUGCGCGCACGUCCGGUCCGUGGUCUAGGACGUUGCCUUUUUCCCGUCGGUAGUGUCUUCUCCAUUUUGUGGGUUCGAGACUGAGAGGUGGCAGCGACGAGCGGCGGCGGCUAGAAGCCAUGGAGUUCCUGAUGUGCAGUAGCAGAUACGCGGAUCUACUCUCCUUGAGGAGGUUGGCGAGAGUACAGUGCCGCCUCCCGCGGCAGCAGUUGGUGUGGUGGAGCGGGCACGGUCGCCGUUCCAUAAGGAGGCGGCAGAUAAACAAGUUCUGCAAGCGGGUAUGCUGGAGUAGGCACCGCCAUUGGGCGAACCCAUGGCAGCGGAUCUGGGUGCAGGGGAGGUGGUGCCGGCGGGUGCGAGCGCGGAAGGUCAACUCUGGGAUGCAAGCGGAGCGGUGGCAGAAAGGAGAGAGAGCUCCCCCGCGGGCUCCGAGCUGUCAACUGGGAAGAUGAACCCUCGGGCUGCUGGAUGGAACAAAAGACAAUUAAACCACCAAGAAAUGCGUCACAUUCUCAAGGUCAACGCGGUGGGACACCUCUUAGUACUUGAACAUCUAAAUUUGUGCCACAAGUUCUCUGAUGUCUAGCGUUUUCUCAAGGAUGCCAAGUAUCCCAAGAUCUUUUGCAAGGCUCUUUGGUCGCAUAUAGAGGGUUCAGGAGGUGAAGCAAUUUUGGGAGGUACUUUGUGAGGAAUGCAUAAUCACCAAAUUGAUUACUGUCAAAGAACACUUGCAAGGAGUAGUUUGUCGGAGCAGCUGCAAUGCAUAAUCCGAUAAGUGAAAAACAAGGCUAAGAAUGGGGGAGCUAGCAGCAGACAUGUACACCCAAGAUGACACCGUGGACAUCAAGGGCAAACCGGCCCUCAAGAACACCGCCAACUAGCGGUUUGACAUCCUCUGAUGCAGCCCGUACAUUAUCAAGUCCAGGCAACGGUAUCCGGUCAGCAACAGUUGCAAAUGCCAGCAUUAAGCAUGGAUGGCAAGAUCUGUGCGCCGGAUGGCACGGUGGAUGUUGGACGGCAAGGUUCACCGCCGGCGUCGGAGCAGUCGGUAGGUGAGAUGGAUCCUAAAGCUCCUAGGUAGAUGCGAAGGUAUGUCGAUUUUCAGUGCUACAAAAUCUGGAAGUAGUGGCUGAAAUCUGAACUGAUGACUAUAGAUCUAAUAUUUUUUAUGUGAGGACUCUCAAUGUAUCACUCCUAGCAGUUGAUGAAUAAACAUUUUAUCAAGUAUUUCCAUCUUCGAAAUUCA